UACGAGUGCUUCAAGCGUUAUCCGGAAUCAUUGGGCGUAAAGGGCGCGUAGGCGGCGCGCGUAGUCAACGGUGAAAGCCCGGGGCUCAACCCCGGGUCGGCCGUCGAUACUCUCGUGCUUGAGCACUGUAGAGGCAGGUGGAAUUCCGGGUGUAGCGGUGGAAUGCGUAGAGAUCCGGAAGAACACCGGUGGCGAAGGCGGCCUGCUGGGCAGUAGCUGACGCUGAGGCGCGACAGCGUGGGGAGCAAACAGG
rnacentral:rRNA from 1 species